AGCAAACAAUAGAUGCCUAGGAGUUUCAAGCCGAAGAAGGACGCGGUUGGUGGCGAAACGCACCGGUAAGGUACCAACAACCUAUGACCCGGUGGUAUCCGAAUAGGGAAACCUCGGUUGUGGUAACACAACUGGUCCUUCAUCCUUGUGGUGAAGGACGGGAACCUGGGGAACUGAAAUAUCUAAGUACCCAGAGGAAAAAAAAUCGAAUGAGAUUCCCUUAGUAGCGACGAGCGAAGAGGGAACAGCCCAAACCCCGCCUUUGGCGGGGGGUUGUAGGACUCCAAUGUGGGAUUUGUAAGACUAGAAAAACACGUCUGGAAAGACUGGCCACAGAAGGUGACAGCCCUGUAUUUAAAAGUAUUACAAACUCUAGGAGAUUCCUGAGUACUCCAGAAGACGGUAAACUUCGGGAGGAAGUUACGCUGACCACAGUGUAAGGCUAAAUACUUGGAACUACCGAUAGCGAACGAGUACCGUGAGGGAAAGGUGAAAAGAAGGGUGGAAGACCCAGUGAAAUAGAUCCUGAAAUUGUUUGCUAACAAACAGAGAAAGUCCCGAUUUAUCGGGAUGAUCUCGUGCCUAUUGAAGAAUGAACCGGUGAGUUGCUCAUGUACUGCAAGCUUAAAUUUUUUCAAAAUGAAAGCGUAGUGAAAGCGAGGGUGAAUAGCCCGAAUUAGUAGUACAUGGCAGACCCGAACCCAGGCGAGCUACCCAUGAGCAGGGCGAAAUCAAUGUAACAGUUGAUGGAGGCCCGAACCAGUUGGUGCUGAAAAACCUUUGGAUGACUUGUGGGUCGGAGUAAAAUGCUUAUCGUGCCUGGAGAUAGCUGGUUCUCCCCGAAAUACGUUUAGGCGUAGCCUUGAAGCACACACCCUUGGGGGUAGAGCUACUGGAUGGAUGUUUAGUCGUAAGGUUAGGCAUCUAACCAAACUCCGAAUACCAAGUGGUGCUACUUUGGGAGUCAGUCUGUGGGGGCUAAGCUCCAUGGGCGAAAGGGAAACAUCCCAGAUCCCCGUAUAAGGUCUCUAAAUUACUGUUAAGUCAGAAAGGAAGUUUUUCAUCUCAGACAGCCAGGAGGUCGGCUUAGAAGCAGCCAUCCUUUAAAAAUAGCGUAACAGCUUACUGGUCGAUUUGGAUGGAGAGCGCCGAAAAUUUAGCGAGGGUAAACAGUAUACCGACGAUGGGAAUUCCGCAUUUAUGCGGAGUGGUAGGGGAGCGUUGUUGUCAGCUGCGAAGGUUGGUUGUAAGACUGGCUGGAGCGGCAACAAGUGAGAAUGCCGGUACGAGUAGCGAAAGAAAAGUGAGAAUCUUUUCCGUCGAAUUUCCAAGGUUUCCGUUCCCAUGUUCGUCAGGGACGGGUUAGUCGGCCCUUAGGCGAGGCGAUAUUGCGUAGCCGAUGGACAACAGGUUGAUAUUCCUGUACCAAGGAACUUACUAUACUGAUGGGGUGACGAGGUGUGAACGCUCAAGCCACUUAUUGAAUUGUGGUCUAAGCAGCAAGGUAGUUUUGGUUGGUAAAUCCGCCAAGGCGUUUUGACCUAAGCUGUGGGGGAAGUCCCGCUUUGCGGGGUGAACUUGAACCGUUUAAGCCUCCGAGAAAAGCCUCUAAAGUGUAGGUUCUUUGUCCGUACCGCAAACCGACACAGGUGGAAAGGUCGAGUAGACCAACGACGAGCGAGAGAACGAUGGUUAAGGAACUCGGCAAAUCAACUGGACGUAACUUUGGGAGAUGUCCCCCCCGCCAUAGGCGGGGCCCAGUAAAUGAAUUUCAAGCGACUGUUUAACAAAAACACAGGUCUGUGCAAAAGCGAAAGCUUAUGUAUACGGGCUGAAACCUGCCCAGUGCCGGAAGGUCACGUGCGGGGGUGGUCACGCAAGUGUCUCGCCUCUCAUCUAAGCCCCGGUGAACGGCAGCAGUAACUAUAACUGUUCUAUGGUAGCGAAGUACCUUGUCGGGUAAGUUCCGACGCGCACGAAAGGCUCAACGACUUGAAAACUGUCUUGACCGUCGACUCGGCGAACAAUGCAAUGGCUGUGAAGAUGCGGCCUACAUACACCAGGACAAAAAGACCCCGUGGAGCUUUACUGCAGUCUGACAUUGAAUUAUUUACUUUCAUUGUCGAGAAUAGGCGGGAGGAAUAUACCUUCGGGUAUAUCCCAUCAGUGUAAUACCGCUCUUGAGAUUAGGUAAUUCUCACCUAUGAUUUUUACAGAGUCAGGGACAGUGUUUGGCGGGCAGUUUCGCUGGGGAGGUGGUUUGCUAAAUCGUACCGCAAACGCACAAAGGUAUGCUUGCUGCGGAUGGAAAUCGCAGUGUACGUGUAAUGGCAUAAAGCAUGCUUGACUGUGACACUUACAAGUGGAGCAGGGACGAAAGUCGGUCAUAGUGAUCCUCCGUUGUGUUGUGGAACACACGGAGCUUAUCGGAUAAAAGCUACCCCGGGGAUAACAGGCUAGUCGCGCCCGAGCGUCCAUAGCGCCGGCGCGGUUCGGCACCUCGAUGUCGGCUCAGGGUAUCCUGGGGCUGGAGAAGGUCCCAAGGGUUGGUCUGUUCGCCCAUUAAAACCCUACGUGAGCUGGGUUCAGAGCGUCGUGAGACAGCUCGGUCUCUAUCCGGUGUGUGCGCAGGAUUCUUGAGGGAAUUUGCCCCUAGUACGAGAGGACCGGGGUGAGGUAAUCCCUAGUGUGCCAGUUGUUGCGUCAGCAGCAUUGCUGGGUAGCUACAUUACUUGUUGGAUAACCGCUGAAAGCAUCUCAAGCGGGAAGCCCAUCCCAAGAUAAGGAAUCCAUCUCCACUUCAGUGGAGGAGAGAUCCCUGGCAGAAUACCAGGUAUAACGACUGCAGGUGUAAGGGCAGUAAUGUCUUAAGCCAAGCAGAAACGUAUAGAUC
rnacentral:rRNA from 1 species